UUAUUUAAUUUGUAUAGGUUUUCACCCUCUACUAAGUCUAGAGUUCUGUGUCCUUCUCUUUCCAUUUUUUACUUUUAUCAAAUAAUCCAAAUUCUUUAAUCACUCAAAUCCAUUUUCAAUGUUCAAUCACUCAAAUCUUAUUUUUUUCCCAUUUUUGCCACCAUCUCCGAUUCAAAAGCUCCAUUUACAAUUUAUUAACCUUCAAUUUCCUCUUCUAUUGGAUCUUCACCACUCCUAGGGUUUUGUCAUUGAAAUCAAAGCACAAAGUUCAUUCCUCUUGAAACUUGUAAUAUGUAUAUUUGAUGUGUGUGUUGAUGGACCGCCUGAAAGGCAGAAUUUGAAAGAGGAGGCAAAUAUUUUACAACAAACUAUAGCUGUCGAAUAUGGAUAUGAGCCUUAUAUUUGUGGGAGGGUU